UACGUAGGGGGCUAGCGUUGUCCGGAAUCAUUGGGCGUAAAGAGCGUGUAGGCGGUCCGGUAAGUCCGCUGUGAAAGUUGGGGGCUCAACCCUCGAAUGCCGGUGGAUACUGUCGGGCUAGAGUGCGGAAGAGGCGAGUGGAAUUCCUGGUGUAGCGGUGAAAUGCGUAGAGAUGUGGAGGAACACCGAUGGCGAAGGCAGCCUUCUGGGCCAACACUGACGCUCAUGCACGAAAGCGUGGGGAGCAAACAGG
rnacentral:rRNA from 1 species